rnacentral:pre_miRNA from 1 species
AGUGGGAUAACUGGGUCAAGCAGUGAUUCCAUUCCAAGUUUUUUGAGGAAUUUCCAAACUGCUUUCCAGAGUGGUUGCACCAAUUUGCAGUCCCACCAGCAAC